GACGAACGCUGGCGGCGGGCUUAACACAUGCAAGUCGAACGGAAAGGCCCUGCUUUUGUGGGGUUCUCGAGUGGCGAAGGGGUGAGUAACACGUGAGUAACCUGGCCUUGACUGUGGGAUAACUUGAGGAAACUGGUGCUAAUACCGGAUAGGAGCUCCUGCUGCAUGGGGGGGGUUGGAAAGUUUCGGCGGUGGGGGAUGGACUCGCGGCUUAUCAGCUGGUUGGUGGGGUAGUGGCUUACCAAGGGUUUGACGGGUAGCCGGCCUGGGAGGGUGACCGGCCACCUGGGGCCUGAGAUACGGCCCAGACUGCUACGGGAGGCAGCAGUGGGGAAUAUUGCAUAAUGGGCGGAAGCCUGAUGCAGCAAUGCCGCGUGCGGGAUGACGGCCUUCGGGGUGGAAACCGCUUUAGCCUGUGACGAAGCGUGAGUGACGGUAAUGGGUAAAGAAGCACCGGCUAACUACGUG
rnacentral:rRNA from 1 species